rnacentral:rRNA from 1 species
UUCCUACGGGAGGCAGCAGUGGGGAAUUUUGGACAAUGGGGGCAACCCUGAUCCAGCCAUGCCGCGUGCGGGAAGAAGGCCUUCGGGUUGUAAACCGCUUUUGUCAGGGAAGAAACGCUCUGGGCUAACACCCCGGGGUAAUGACGGUACCUGAAGAAUAAGCACCGGCUAACUACGUGCCAGCAGCCGCGGUAAUACGUAGGGUGCAAGCGUUAAUCGGAAUUACUGGGCGUAAAGCGUGCGCAGGCGGUCGUGCAAGACAGAUGUGAAAUCCCCGGGCUUAACCUGGGAACUGCAUUUGUGACUGCACGGCUGGAGUGCGGCAGAGGGGGAUGGAAUUCCGCGUGUAGUAGUGAAAUGCGUAGAUAUGCGGAGGAACACCGAUGGCGAAGGCAAUCCCCUGGGCCUGCACUGACGCUCAUGCACGAAAGCGUGGGGAGCAAACAGGAUUAGAUACCCUGGUAGUCCACGCCCUAAACUAUGGAUACUCGACAUACGCGAUACACUGUGUGUGUCUGAGCGAAAGCAUUAAGUAUCCCACCUGGGAAGUACGACCGCAAGGUUGAAACUCAAAGGAAUUGGCGGGGGUCCUCACAAGCGGUGGAGCAUGUGGUUUAAUUCGAUGAACGC